rnacentral:lncRNA from 1 species
CCAAAUUUCAUCGAUAUAUUGAAGGAUAACGGUGGAUUCACAGAUCGGUUUUCCACCAUGAACGAGCACCGGGACUUGCUUAUGAAUUGGAUUAUAUUGAAGAAGCGAAGGACUCUUGUUGAGGAGAUCUUCUUCAAUAUAUUCGUACAGUAUGCCUUUGAGUUUUAGAGCCCAAAUUACUCUGUAACCGUACGGACUAAACCAAGUUCCGAGCAAUUUUACGACCGCCAUGAUUGGGAGGUUAGUUCAGAGAUUCUGAGAGCGCUGAGUGCAAAUUUAUAAUAGGAUUACUGGUCAAAGAUUUGUCUAAAAAUUUCAUGAUAUAAAAAAAGAGAAAUUGACAAAAAUUGUAGGCCCUAAAAGUUGGAAUCUGUCACUAAGACUUUUAUACGAAGAUGAAGUAUUAUAAAAGAUUUUUAUAUAAUAAUAUAAGGUAAUGUCAUGCAUGAUGCAAUAUAAGGUAAGGUAGUCCAACCGAACAAUCCAAUCCUAUUUAAACACAAGUAAAAACCCCAUAUAUAAUUUUAAACCCAUAUAUAAUUGAAUAUAUAUGUUUUCUUUUAUAAUUAAGGUAUCAUAUAUAUUUAUUUUAUCCGUGUGUUGAUUUGAUGAUCAGGGUGUUCAUCGUCUCAGAUGUGAUUUGGUUUCAAGUCACGCUAAUCGCGUUGCUGUUAGGACUUUACUCUCCUCUUAUAAUUCACUGAAAAGGAUAAUUUAUCUUUGACGUUUUAGCAAGCGUGUCAUCAUGUCUAGGGAGCAUUUGACUAUAAAAUCAAACCGUGCUAAUGUGUCGAUAUGUAAAAAGUGAAAAAUAUUUUAGAGUUGUUUUAGAACUAACUACUACUUAAAUUAAUCGAAAAUUCUAUUUUAUUAUAUAUUAUAUGUGUAUGUAUGCUAACAUAUAUAAUAAACAAAAAUAAAAUAAGAUGACUUCUUUUUUCAUGUUUCCUACUCGUUGAAUUCUGUAAUAAUUCUGUAACAUAUCCAAAAUGAGUUCUGUUGUUUUCAUAAUAUAUUUUGUCUGACAUAUGAAGAAAUGAUUGUCUAAAAUGGCUGCUGUUUCCAGAACUUUUUAUAUCUGACAUUUAAGAAAUGGUUGUCCAAAACGGCCGUUGUUUUCAUAAUUUAUUAUGUCCGACAUAUGAAGAAAUUGUUGCCUAAAAUGGCUGUUGUUGGGUUAUGGUUGUCGACACCAUUUUUUGAUAAAACGGAGUUGACUUGGAUAUUAAAAAUGAAAACGAAUAUAGAAGUUGUCACCAAUCUUUUUUGAUGAUGUGUGAUCGGGUCAAUUCAAAAAGUGGUUGUUUUUAAUAAACCAUUCGGUUUUAUUAAAACAACGAUUUUGGUUCAUGAAAUUCAGAAAAAUGGGUUCGGAAGUCGGUUACGUACGAGGAAGGAUUAGCACCCUCGUAACGCCCAAAAAUUGGUACCUAGUUGAUUAAUUAGUGUUGUCCAAAAUGACUGUUGUUUUCAGAAAUGAUUGUCUAAAAUGGCUGCUGUUUCCAGAACUUAUUACGUCUGACAUUUAAGAAAUGGUUGUCCAAAACGAACGUUGUUUUCAUAAUUUAUUAUGUCUAACAUAUGAAGAAAUGGUUGUCUAAAAUGUAUGUGGUUUUCAUAAUUCAUUUCUUUCUUGAAUGGUUGGUUGUAUUCUUAUGUUGGUAAGUGAAGUGAAUAAAAUUCGAUUUAAUUUUAAAAAUUUGAUAAAAAUUUUAAAAUUUAAAUUAAAUAGUUUGAAUUAUUCGAGUUAUUUGGAUCAACUCGAAUAAAAAAUUAUUAUUUUUGGUUUAAUUCGAAUAUGAACUCGAAUAUGAAUUACAAUAUUUGAGUUAUCUGAAAAUCUAAAUAAAAAAUACAAAAUUACGUCGUUUUGAUAAAUAUUUACUUUCUCUAAAGUUAAAAGGCAAAAUUACGUUGUUUUGCUAAAUAUUUACUCAUCAGCCUUAUUUUCUUUCUCGAAUCCCCCCACUUUCCCUUUUUUCUUUACUCAAAAUUAACCUAAAAGUUUGUAAUUCGUCUACUACUUAAAUAAUUAGUCUAUGUAAAUGCAAUAUUGAAUAUAAAUAAUAGGAUUCGUUAACUCAACUCAACUUGGCUCGAAAUUUUUUUACUCGAUUCAACUCAAUUUUAAAAAAAUACAAAUUGAAUUCGGUUUCUAAAAUAGUAUUCAUCAAUUUGACUAACUUAAUUUUUUUUUCACCCCGGCAAGUGUGAUGAAAAUUGAGGGGAAAUUGAGGGAAAAGUUUUGAUGGUUGUCAGUUGUUGAGUGAGCUGUCGUGACAUGCAAAACCCAUGCAUGUUGUCCUAAUAUGACUUAUUGUUAUGAAAAUAAUGUCCUGCUGGAGUUGAUUAAAUAUUAAUGUCCUAUGCUGCAAUUAAAAGAUAUCAUAGUGCUGUAUCAUAUUUAAAAUGUAAGUAUUUAUGUUGUCUUAAAACAUUAUCUGUAUGGAUUAAUUACUGUAAUUUAAACCGUCUUAAUAAUGAAAUUGUGAUAUCUUAAAGCAGUAAAUUGUGGUUAAAAUGUAUAAAUCUGGGAGUAAAUCGAGUUUUAUUUGUGGAAUGACAUGUUGUAACAACCCAAUUUUGGGUCUAGUCGGAACAGUGGUUUCGGGACCACAAAUCCGACGAGGAAAAAUGUAAUUGCCUGAAUUUUCAGGGGUGUCAGAACAGUGAUUCGAGAUCACUAAAUCCGACAACUGAGUAGAAAAUAUUAUUAAUUUAGUGAGUAUAAGUUAAAUGUGAAGUUAAGAAAAUUUUUGAAAUAGUGAAUAGUGCACUAGAAAUAAAUAUUAAAAUAGUUAGAAUAAAAAACGAGGUAUCGAGACCUCAAAGAUUUUAAACCGAGCCAUAAAUAUUUUUAUAAAUAUUUAUGGAGUGUUAAAAAGUUAGUAUUAAAGUUUCAAUAAUUAAUUGAACAAAAAGGACUAAAUUGUAACAAAUGCAAAAUUCUGGGAAAUGAUUAAAUAGCUUAAAUGAUAAAAGGAAGAGGACUUAAAAGGAAAAUAGACCCAAUGUCUAUUUGGGCUGGACGGCAAAGGCAUGAAAUCAGCAAGAAAGUAAGGAGAAUUAAGGGCAAAAUUGGAAUAUUGUAAAAUUACUUAAUAAAGCUAGGAUCAAAGUGGAAUUAUCUAGAUUUCUCUUUAUUUUUCUGCAUUCUAAUCAGCUAAAACACCAUAGAAGGGUUUCCUUAAGAUGGUGCUUCAUAUUUUUACUGCAAGUAAGUUCAAUUCUUGAUUAUUUCUUGAAAUUGUUGUGCUUUUGUGACUUUUACAACUAGGCCCACUUGUUGAAUUCAUUAGUUUUUGAUUCUAUGAAAGAAGUUGAAAGUUGCUAUGAAUAUGUGCUGGAAGUAUAUGAUGAUUUAGCAUGGAAUUAGAGCUUUAAAUUGUUUAUAUGCUAAUUUUAUUGAAAGAAAUGAAUAGAAAGUCAAUGUUUGGGACCUAAUAGUAAAAGAGUUUGAAGUUAGGGUUUUAUGAGGAAAUUUUGAAUUUCAAUAGUUAUGAAUAACUUAUAAGGUCUAGGUAAAGUACUAAUUGAGAAAAAUUACCUUAAUUGAGGGGUUAAUUGAGCAAGGACUGAAUUGUAUGAACUGUGAAAUUUAGGGCAAAAUAGAAAUUAACAUUUUGCACUAAAACAGUUUUGGAUAGCAACAGUAGUUUAAAUUUCAAAAAUCACCAAAAAUUAUGGGAAUCGAAUUAGAGAAUGAAUAAAACAUGAAAUUAAAGCUUAUUGAGUCUAGUUUCUCAUAGAAGAAACGGUGUAAGCAAUAGAAUUGUAAAUUAUGAGAUAUAAUAAAUUUUGUGAUACAAGGUCAGAAAGAUUUCGGGUUCCCCUGUUCUGACUUUGGAAAAUCAUCAAAAAUUGAAUAAAAAUAAUUAGGGGCUUAAAUUUAUAUAUUUAAAAUCAUGAAUAAGUCUAUUUUCAAGAGAAACAAAUAGAAACAUCAUUCAAGUCUCGUACAAGGAGAUAAUUAAUUUUUAGUGAAGAAGGAUCGAAAUUGUUUAAUAGUGAAAUAGGAGAGACUUUAAAGGCUAAGCCAAAAAUUCUAAAAAUUUUAUGUUAAAAAGAUAUAUGAGUCUAGUUUCCGGAAAAAUUAACAGAUCUUAAUUUAAAGCUUCGUAACUCGAGAUAUAAAUAAUUUAGUGACUCUAACUCGGAUAGACAGCUUUGAAUUUACUUAUAAGUAAAUAGUGAAAAUAUAGUUAAUGUUAUUAAGCAUGUUAUAUACAUUAAGGAUGUGGAAUGAAAAGGAGGAGGAGGAAAAUUAGAAAAUAUAUGAAUGACUUGUGCAUAAAUCGGUCAUAUAUUCGAUCAUAAUCGAUAAAUGUUGAAUUAGAAACGAUGUAAUGUUUUAUUUCAAAUAGUUACUGUGAGAUUGAUGAUAUCUGAUUUUAGCUAAAUUAAAAGCUAAAGCGAUGUUUUCAUUGAAAAAUUAAGAAUUUCAUAAAUGUGUUAAUGAAUGGCAUAAUCGAUAAACGUUGAGUUAAAUGGUAAAUACGUAUUAGUAUUGAACUUAAUGAUAUUGAAUUGUAUGAGAAGUAAAUGGAAAUUUCUAUUGCUAGUGAUAUGAUUUGAAUUAAAAAAAUUAUUGCGAUAUUGAAAUGUAUAUUGGAUUGAGAAAUUGAUUUGAAUUGUGAACAUGAUAAAUUAUGAAUUGAAUGAAAUGGAAAUGAAGCAUUGAAUUGUUAAGACUUGUGAAUUGCAUGAAUAUAAAUCGAAUCCCGUAGGCCCUAUUUAUUAUGAAUAUAAUAUUUAGAGGAUAUAUUGUGAAGAAUUAUAAAAGCAUGUUAAAAUUUUGAAAGUUUUAAUUUAGAAGAAAUUUUAUAAUAUGAUUAAAUAAGUUUACAAAGAUGGAGUAUUAUGAAAGAUUUUAUAUAGUAAUAUAAGGUAAUGUCAUGCAUGAUGCAAUAUAAGGUAAGGUAGUGUCAUGCAUGAUGCAUCUUUAUUAAUUUUUUUUUAAUUUGAAUAAAUGUUUUUAGAAAUAAAUUAGUGGUUGGUUGAAUUGAUUAGGCCAUUAGUUUGUCGAUUUGAUAAGUUCGAUAAAGAUAUAAUAAUAAAUUCAUAAAAAAGAAUAUUUAAGAAAUCUAGUUCAACUGUCAAUUUAAUUGAUUUUUUAACUGGUUCAAUCGAUUUGAUGUUUUUUUCGAAUCUAUAUUUCGACCUGUUUCUAGUCCAACCGAACAAUCCAAUCCUAUUUAAACACAAGUAAAAACCCCAUAUAUAAUUGAAUAUAUAUGUUUUUUUAUAAUUAAGGUAUCAUAUAUAUUUAUUUUACCCGUGUGUUGAUUUGAUGAUCAGGGUGUUCAUCGUCUCAGAUAUGAUUUGGUUUCAAGUCACGCUAAUCGCGUUGCUGCUAGGACUUUACUCUCCUCUUAUAAUUCACUAAAAAAGAUAAUUUAUCUUUGACGUUUUAGCAAACGUGUCAUCAUGUCUAGGGAACAUUUGACCAUAAAAUCAAACCGUGUUGAUAUGUAAUAAGUGAAAAAUAUUUUAGAAUUGUUUUAGAACUAACUACUAAAAUUAUGCGAAAAUUCUAUUUUAUUAUAUAUUAUAUGUGUAUGUACGCUAACAAAUAUAAUAAACAAAAAUAAAAUAAAAUAAGAUGACUUCUUUUUUCAUGUUUCUUACUCGUUGAAUUAUGUAAUAAUUCAGUUUUUUGUAGUGCCGGAAAGUGAAAUAUCGACACUUUAUUUUCGUAAAUCAAAUUCGUAAAAAUUAUUAUUAAAUCACACCCAACAAUUUUGAGACCUUGAGAAUUUUUUUUUGAACUUUUGAAAUUUGCAUGUUAAAUAGUUGUUUCUUCAUGUGGGAGACGGUCAAAGUGGUAAAGGCAAGGAGCAAGGUUGUGCUUGUGACGGCAACUUGGGGAAGAUUUGGGUAAGUUUCCUUGAAAUUUACAGACUUAAUUGCCAGGUUGAAGUAAGCUAGUUGGUGACUUCAAUUAAGUUGUCUGAAUUUUAUGAAUAAACUGUGAAUUAGCUGCUGUUGAUUUUCGGUAUGUAGCAAAUCAAACGUGUUGGAAAUUUGAAGAAAUGGUUGUCCAAAAGGACUGUUGUUUUCAUAAUAUAUUUUGUCUGACAUAUGAAGAAAUGAUUGUCUAAAAUGGCUGCUGUUUCCAGAACUUAUUAUGUCUGACAUUUAAGAAAUGGUUGUCCAAAACGACUUCGUAAUUUAUUAUUUCUGACAUAUGAAGAAAUGGUUGUCUAAAAUGGCUGUUGUUCGGUUAUGGUGCGGGUUUAAUUCAUUUCUUUCUUGAAUGGUUGGUUGUAUUCUUAUUUUGGUAAGUAGGUGAAUAAAAUUUGAUUCGACUUUAAAAAUUUAAUAAAAAAUUUAAAAUUUAAAUUAAAUAGUUCGAAUUAAUCGAGUUAUUUGGAUCAACUCGAAUAAAAAAUCAAAUUUUUUGGUUUAAUUCGAAUAUGAACUCGAAUAUGAAUUACACAAUUCGAAUUAUUUGAAAAUCUAAAUAAAAAAUACAAAAUUACAUCAUUUUGAUAAAUAUUUACUUCGUCUAAAGUUAAAAGGCAAAAUUAAGUUGUUUUAAUAAAUAUUUACCCAUCAGCCUUAUUUUCUUUCUCGAAUCCCCCCACUUUCCCUUUUUUCUUUACUAAAAAUUAACCUAAAAGUUUAUAAUUCGUCUACUAGUUAAAUAAUCAGUCUAUGUAAACGCAAUAUUGAAUAUAAAUAAUAAGAUUCGUUAACUCGACUCAACUUGACUCGAAAUUUUUUUACUCGAUUCGACAAAAUUUAAAAAAAUACAAAUUAAACUCGGUUGCUAAAAUAAUGCCCACCUCUACUGGUAAGUGUGAUGAAAAUUGAGAGAAAAGUUUUGAUGAUUGUUGUAAUACCCAAUUUUGCCCCGGGCCUGUUAAAAUAAUACAAAAACCAAAAUAUAAAUAAAGUCCAAAUAUUAGACAGUCCAUUGACAUAGUCCAAUUAAUUACACCAGCCCAUAUAGCCCAAUAACCAAAAAAAAGCCCAAAGCUUCGACCCAAAUACAAUUGUUAACCCAAUUCCAGAAACCAUCCCGCCUUCCUCGCACGCCGCCAGCAGCCUCUCACCAUAGCCACCCGCGUGCGUGCGCCCCUAGUUGUACCUGCAACUAGGGGGUGUGCAAAAUUCGUGUAAAAUCGAAAAAAAUUCAGUUAACCGACUGAAUUCGAUUAAUUGGUCGGUUAACCGAAUUUUUUUGGUCGAGGGUCGGUUAAUUAUUUUUUAAUUUUUUGGUUAACGGUUAAUUCGGUUCGAAACUAGUCGAUUAACCGAAUUUUUUCGGUUUAAGUAAAAAAAUUAAUAAAUAAAAUUAUAAUAUAUAAAUAGGCCCACUAUUCACCUAAACCCAAUCCAAACCCAAGUAUUCAAUCCAACCCAAUUACCCAACUCAACCCAAUCAUAAAAAUUACAAAUAAUUUAAUAAAUAAAAAUAAAAUUCUAAAACUAAAACUAAAACUAAAGUCUAAAAGUCUAAAUAUAAUUUAAUUAUGUAGUGAUUCAAUUCGGUUAAUUCUGGUAAUUCGGUUAAUUUUUAACCAAAAAUAAAAAACAUAUAAUUUUCGGUUAAUUCAGAUAACCGACCGAAUUAACUGAAAAAUUUCGGUUCGGUUAAUUUUUUUGAAAAAUUUUCGGUUCGGUUAACGGUUAAAAAUUUUGAAAGGUCGAUUAAUUCGGUUAAUAUUAUUUCGGGUCGGUUAACCGAACAAACACCCCUACCUGCAACAGCAAACAGCAAACAAUACCAACAAAGCAGUAACAGCAAAAUAGAAUAACAGAAAAGGGAAUAAUAGAAUAUAGGAAAUGUAUUUCUUUGUUUAUUUUUAUUUUAUUAUUAUUUUUCUAUUUCAUUUUUCGGCUAUAAAAGAGCCGAUUCAAGCACUGUAAAAGGAGACGCAUUCAAAGAAAAAGAAACAGAAUCAUCAAAAAAAGAAGAAUAGAGUUUUUUUUUUUCUGAAGGUUUUUUUUUUCGAUUUCAAUUUAUUUUCCUUGUUUCAUUUGAUUGGCUUUGAUUAUAAGCUAAAAGAGGAAGAGAAGAAGCGUCUUACCAGAGCGGGCGCCAUUGGAACCUGGUUUGCUCCGUCUGAAUCAGAGUCAAAUCGGGUUCGUGACUGGAGACCGACGGGGAGAAAGGCUAGGUUGUUGGUAUGUUUUAGGAUAGCAAAACAACUUAUCAAGGUUUUAGUUUUUAGUUUUUUAAAGAUAAUAAAACAGUGCCGUUUAAGCCUGAUUUGAUGGCUUCAAAACGACACCGUGUUGACUAACACCCGAUGACCCGACCCGAACGAGGUGGGAUCCGCGCGUUUUGAGUCUGUUGGGAUUUUUGCGCAUCAGAUCCCUCUGUUUUGCGUUUUGGUUCAAUCUAAUCCUUUUGUUUUUUUAAUUUUGGCCACCUAUUUCUUUGUAAAUGCCAUUUGGUCCGCGAUGAAACGCCACGUUUUGGGGGAUGGGAUAUUUUCUCGUUUAAUCCCUAUGUAAUUCACGCAUUUUUCUUUGGCCCUCACUGAUAUAGUAUUUUCAUUUUUCUCUCUUAAUUUUGUAUUAAAUACAUUUUAGCCCACAUUUGUUUAGUCUAAAAAUGUAUUAAUUAUUUAAAUUUGUUAUGGAUUAUUAUUUUAAGUUAGUCAUGUAUAUUUUAAUUUAUUAUGAAUAUUUUAAAUGUAUCAUACAUCAUUAUUUUUAAAUCUAUUAUGUAUGCAUAUUUUAAUUGUAUUAUGUAUAAUUAUUUUAAAAUUCAUAUUUAUAUUAUUAUUUUCUUAAUGUUAUUAUAGUAUCAUAAGUUUAGCAUGUACCAUUAUUUUAAGUUUUUAUAUUACUAUUUACUUUAGUCAUGAAUAUUUUUUUGUAUUUUAAUUCAAUAAAAUCUAUACCAAAUUGAUUUCAUUUUUAGUUCUUUCAUAUACUUUUAUCUUUAAAUUUGUAUGGUAACAUUCUAUAAUGUAAUUUCAUAUAUAUAUACAUACAAUUUAUAUUAAAUUAUUAUUUUUGUAUACAUAUAUAUAGUAUAUUAUUUAAUUUUGGAACUGUAUAUUUCUAUAUAUACAUAGAUAUUUUAUUUCUUCCUAAUAUAUUUAGUUUAUUUCACAUUUUUGUAUAUUUGUAUAUUAUCACUUGCAUGAAAUUCCAAACCCUAUGUAUUAUUUAUUUAAAAAUUAAUAUAUAUUUUUUUAUGCUUUAUUUUUCCCUUGUGUAAAAUUUGCUUCAAAAUUCAUCUAAACACCAUUAGUUAAUGUUUUUUGCAAAUUUGUUUUAAACUUAUGUAUAUGUUUUUAAUUUUUGAAUGUAUAUUGAUUGCAAUUUGUUCUUUUGUACAUUUAGCAAAUAAAUUGACAAUUCAUUUGGUUUUGGAAUAUUGAUUUUAUUAGCGUUCGCAUAAUAUGUGAUUGUGAUUAUUGUUGCUAUGUGAAUUAUUGGGUUUGUCUUUAUUUACUGUUUAUUUGAUUAGUGUAAGUUUAUUUACAAAUUGUCUUUUUUUUUUUUGGCGUUGUACAUAAACAUUAAAUUAUACUACAUUUGUUUUAAAAAUUGUGUUUCAUUAGAGCACUAAAAUCAUUCUAUUCCGUGAAUUUUAAAAAAUGCUCGGUGUUCACGAUUCUCGAGAGGAUUGUGCCCUAACUUACUGGGCUUCAAUUCUUUUCUAUGAAUUUAGAUAGCCAAGUAUUUAUUUUGCAAUAAAACCAUACAAUUUCAAAAUAAAGUUUUUCUGGGAUUUCAAAAUGUUGAAUCCUAACUCAUUGGAUAUGACAUUUUGCUACCUCGAAUUAAGGAUUUUUAAAAUAAAGGCAAUAUUCGGUGUUUAGGAAUUUCGAGAAAUUGAAUCCUAACUUACUGGGUUCUGAUUUUUUUCGUUUGACCCAAAUAGCCAAAUAUCCUUCUCAAAAUGCACAAGUUUUUAAAGUUAAAAAGAUAAACUUAAUUUUGAAGAUUAAAAAUGUUGCAUUCUAACUCACUGAGUGUGACAAUUUAUUUCUUUGAAAUGAGUGUGUCUUAUCAUUCAAUUCGUUUUAUUCAAAUUUUCUUUUCAAAGGAUCGUAUUUUAAAAUCUUUUUAAAUUUUCAACACUAAGAUAUCAAAUAAUCAAUUCGGUACCAAUUUUGGGCGUUACGAGGGUGCUAACCCUUCCCCAUGCGUAACCAACUCCCAAACCUGUUUUCUCAAAUUUCGAAGACCAAAAUCGUUUUUAAUGUGAGCUGAUCACACCUCAAUAAAGGAUUGGUGGCGACUCCAAUUUUCGUUUCUAAGUCAACAACUAAAUUUUGUUUUCAAAAAGUGGUUUUGACAAUUGUCAGUUGUUGAGUGAGCUGUCGUGACAUGCAAAACCCAUGCAUGUAGUCCGAAUAAGACUUACUGUUAUGAAAAUAAUGUCCUGCUGGAGUUGAUUAAAUAUGAAUGUCCUAUGCUGCAAUUAAAAGAUGUCAUAGUGUUGUAUCGUGUUUAAAAUGUGAGUAUUUAUGUUGUCUUAAAACAUUAUCUGUGUGGAUUAAUUACUGUAAUUUAAACCGUCUUAAUAAUGAAAUUGUGAUAUCUUAAAGCAGUAAAUUGUGGUUAAAAUGUAUAACUCUGGGAGUAAAUCGAGUUUUAUUUGUGGAAUGACAUGUUAUUUUAGAAGUACAAAUUGAGUGUCGCUAAUGGUGAGUUCUUUCAGUUUUUAUCGAUUUAUGUGUAAUGUUUAAUUCAAUUUUUGAGUUUACAGGUCGGGAAUUUGAAGAUGAUUAUGUGACAACCAGUUGAUAUGAUUACAAAUGUGAUAUGAAAAGAUUAUAUUCAUAAUAUAAGUUGACAUAUUAAACUGCCUACGAACUUUUGAUUUUUAUUUAUGUCCUCACAUAAUUUACAUAAUAAACCAGAUUUUACCUUGUCGUCUGCAAAUUUGAUCCAAAACAGAGCAACAGCUCUGUCAUAGGGAUCAGCCGGCAGCAAGGGAUUCUGCGACCAAAUUUCAUCGAUAUAUUGAAGGAUGACGGUGGAUUCACAGAUCGGUUUUCCGUCAUGAACGAGCACCGGGACUUUCUCAUGAAUUGGAUUAUAUUGAAGAAGCAAAGGACUCUUGUUGCGGAGAUCUUCGUCAAUAUAUUCGUAAGGUAUGCCUUUGAGUUUCAGAGCCCAAAUUACUCUGUAACCGUACGGGCUAAAGAAAGCUCCGAACAAUUUCACGACCACCAUGGUUGGGAGAUUAGGUCAGAGAUUUUGAGAGCGCUGAGUGCAAAUUUAUAAUAGGAUUACUGGUCAAAGAUUUGCCUAAGGUUUAUAAUAGGAUUACUGGUCAAAGAUUUGUAGACAAAAGAGAAAUCGACAAAAAUUGUAGACCCUAAAAGUUAGAAUUUGUCACUAAGACUUUUUUAUAUAAAAGAUUUUAUAUAAUAAUAUAAGGUAAUGUGAUGCAUGAUGCAUCUUUAUUAAUUGUUUUUUUAAUUUGAAUAAAUGUUUUUAGAAAUAAAUUAGUGGUUGGUUGAAUUGGUUAGGUCAUUAGUUCGUCGAUUUGAUAAGUUCAAUAAAGAUAUAAUAAUAAAUUCAUAAAAAAAAUUAUGAAAUACAGUUCAACCGUCAAUUUAAUUGAUUUUUUAACCGGUUCAAUCGAUUCGAUGUUUUUUUUCGAAUCUAUAUUUCGACCUGUUUCCAGUUCAACCGAACAAUCCAAUCAUAUAUAAACACAAGUAAACACCCCAUAUAAAAUUGAAUAUAUAUGUUUUUUUUAUAAUUAAGGUAUCAUAUAUAUUUAUUUUACCUGUGUGUUGAUUUGAUGAUUAGGGUGUUCACCGUCUCAAAUGUGAUAUUGGUUCAAGCCACGCUAAUCGUGUUGCUGUUAGGACUUUGCUCUCCUCUAAAUCACACCCAACAAUUUUGAGACCUUGAGAAUGUUUUUUUUUUACUUUAGAAAUUUGCAUGUCAAAUAGUUGUUUCUUCAUGUGGAAGACGGUCAAAGUGGUAAAGGGAAGGAGCAAGCUUGUGCUUGCGACAGCAACUUGGGGAAGAUUUCGUUAAGUUUCCUUGAAAUCUACACACUGACUCGUUUACUUAAUUGCCAGAUUGAAGUAAACUGGUUGCUGACUUCAAUUAAGUUAUCUGAAUUUUAUGAAUAAACUGUGAAUUAGCUGCUGUUGGAAAUUUGAAGAAAUGGUUGUCCAAAAUCACUGUUGUUUUCAUCUGACAUAUGAAGAAAUGAUUGUCUAAAAUGGCUGCUGUUUCCAGAACUUAUUAUAUCUGAUAUUUAAGAAAUGGUUGUCCAAAAUAACCCUUUUUUUUCAUAAUUUAUAUUUUCAUACUAACUUCAUAAACCUUUCUAUUCAUGAUUCCACUAACUCAAUUUACGGAAUUGGAUUUUAAAAUUGUAUUUUUUUCGACAAUGUUUAAAAUCGGGUCAUUACAAGUAAAUUAAAAGAAUAAAUAAUAUUUUGGGCAAAUGAAAGAUAUUUAUUGUGCUAAAAAACUAUAUUAGUUAGUUUAGAGACAAGAUAACACAUAUAAUUGACUUAAUAAAUGAAAAGGCCGAUAUAGGAGGGAGGGGCGGCAAACUAGUAUGGACCCAUUGAAUUUUUUUAUUUUUAUUUUGAUAAUUUAUUUAAACAAACUGAUCGAAAUUAUUGGACUAACAAAGCAGUGACUUGAUCAGUUCGAACUUUGAAAACCUUCAAUAAAGAACACAAGUGUCCAAACCCUAAUUCGAUUUUGAUGUCAACAUCAUCUCUCUACCAUGCUUCAAGAAAGUAGACAUCUUAUCGGUAUCAGGAAAGUUGUCUUUGAUUACAGGGAUUGAUUUGAAAUUUUGGAUCCACGAGCUCACUCGAGGGAACUUGUGUGGCUCACAGAUUUCAAGCCCUAGUAUGUCUUCGAGAACCCCAAGCCAGAUAGCAACAAAGGAAAAUGCAAUGUCCACCAUGUUUAUCUCGUCUCCGCCGAAUAACUUUUUCACUCCGAUCAGCGCAUGUUCUUCCAUGACUUCCAACAUUUCCAACCACUCUUUCACUGCUGCCUGUUGUUCUUCGCCAUUGGCUCGAUAAAGCUUUAACAUUAAAUAACCCUGUUUUAAACAGAGAUAUGGGAUUUCUAGUAUGAGGCAUCAAAAGUUAUGUACAAUAAAAGAUUUUCAAAGAUUUCAACUAGGUUAAAAUAUGCUACAAAUCCUUUUAUUCUUUGUAUGUUUAAAAUUUAGUCCUCCUAUUUUUGUUUUAAGAAAUUUAAUCCCAUUACUUUUAAAUUUAAAAAGGGUUAAAUCACUUCACGGGGUUUGAACUUAGCAAGUACUCCCACAUUAGGGCAUGAACUUUUUUUUUGUUCAAAUUAGUCCUUAAACUUGACAAUUAUUCUCACGGUAUGGCCUGAUAAAAGUUACUUAUCACUUAAUAAAUAAUAUUUUUAAUUAACUCAAUUUUAAUUUAUUUAUUUUAAUAUUACGUUAUCCUAUAAAAACCUUAUGUUUAAAAUUUUAAUUAUGGUUUAGAAUAAGGUAAAAUGUUUAAAAAAUAAGAAUAAAAUGUAAAAUAUAUUUUUUUUAUAAUUCAAGAUCUAUAUUUAUCAAACAAUAUAAUUAUAUUCCGUAAUUAAUUUUAAGUAAUGUAUCAAACAAAUUUUAUAACUUAAAUUCGGCACGUAAAUUUUCAAUACUUAAUUUUUCAACCCUUAUUUUUUCUGCACUUUAUCUUUUAGUUUAUCAAAGAACACCUUAGUCCCUAUAUUUUCUUGAAAACCCUAAUAAGCCCCAACAUCGGAACAAUUGCCUAGUCCAAGCACUAGCAUGAGAACAAUUACCACAUUUAGGGACUAACUUGGACAAAAAAAAGUUCAAGCCUCAAUGUAGGAACAAUUACCUAAUUCAAGCCUUAACAUGUGACCCAAUAUGAGAAUUGUUGCCAAGUUCAGGCCUCAAAUAAUGAUUUAACCCAUUUAAAAAUGUAAAUAUAAUCGUAAACAUGAUUUUUUUGGAUUAAAUUCAAGUUCAUAACUCAUUUUUUUCGUUAUAUGACUACCAAAUGAAUAACUAUUUUUUUUAUUUCAAAAUAUCAUACCAAAAAAUUUAAUAAAAAAAUUAACUGUGUUAACAAUUGAGUUCGGGUUUAGAGUAAAAAAAUUACCAAUUUUAUAUGUCAAUGACAUGAAAAAAUUACUAAAAAUAUUAUUAAAUAAUUAGAAAUAGACAAUAGAUGAGGUGGUGGGAAAGGUCCAUAAAAUAGUUUCUCCCAAUACAACAUUUAAUAAAUAAUUUUGGCUAUAAAUAUAAAUAUAAAAAAUCAAUAAACGGGAAAAUCGUCAUAUGCAUCAAAUAAAUAAAUAAAAGGUUUAAUUGCAAAAUUAGUGUCUAAACUAUAUCAAUUUUCUCAUUUUAAGUACCUAAAAGUUUUGGUAAAAAUAUUCUUAAACUAUUAAUUUUAUUACAUUUUACCUAAAAAGUGCACGAUGGCAAUAAAACAUGCUACUGUAUUUUUGGUAAAAUAAGACAAAAUUAACCAUUUAAAAAUCAUUUUGCAAAGAAGAGAAAAAAAAUUAACUCUUAGACACCUAAGUGAUAAAUACGAUAUAGUUGGAGGGUUAAUUUUGUAUUUAAUCCAAAAAAGAAAAGAACAGAUUUGACCUUGUCAUCUGCAAAUUUGAUCCAAAACAGAGCAACAGCUCUGUCAUAGGGAUCAGCCGGCAGCAAGAGAUUCUGCGGCCAAAUUUCAUCGAUAUAUUGAAGGAUGACGGUGGAUUCACAGAUCGGUUUUCCGUCAUGAACGAGCACCGGGACUUGCUUAUGAAUUGGAUUAUAUUGAAGAAGCAAAGGACUCUUGUUGCGGAGAUCUUCGUCAAUAUAUUCGUAAGGUAUGCCUUUGAGUUUCAGAGCCCAAAUUACUCUGUAACCGUACGGGCUAAAAAAAGAUCCGAA